GAGUGACUACAGCUCUUUUAGAAUUUUUCUAUUAGGAUUUCUGAUUUUGGUCAGAAGAAUCCAAG